UUGCAAACAAAAUUAAGGAAAAAUGGACAAUUCACUUUUAAACGGAUAUUGGUGGCGCUUCUUACAACUCAAAAAGUCGUAAGGAAGAGCAUCAUGCGUUUAUAGUGAAUCAAAAAUAUAAAGAGCCUGUC
rfam:Bacteroidia bacterium 44-10 SCNpilot_bf_inoc_scaffold_217, whole genome shotgun sequence.